CCUACGGGGGGCAGCAGUGAGGAAUAUUGGUCAAUGGACGAGAGUCUGAACCAGCCAAGUAGCGUGAAGGAUGACUGCCCUAUGGGUUGUAAACUUCUUUUAUAAAGGAAUAAAACGAGGCACGUGUGCCUUUUUGCAUGUACUUUAUGAAUAAGGAUCGGCUAACUCCGUGCCAGCAGCCGCGGUAAUACGGAGGAUCCGAGCGUUAUCCGGAUUUAUUGGGUUUAAAGGGAGCGUAGAUGGGGUGUUAAGUCAGUUGUGAAAGUUUGCGGCUCAACCGUAAAAUUGCAAUUGAUACUGGCAGUCUUGAGUACAGUUGAGGUAGGCGGAAUUCGUGGUGUAGCGGUGAAAUGCUUAGAUAUCACGAAGAACCCCGAUUGCGAAGGCAGCUUACUAAACUGUAACUGACGUUGAGGCUCGAAAGCGUGGGGAGCAAACAGGAUUAGAUACCCCGGUAGUC
rnacentral:rRNA from 1 species